GGUAUGACUCUCGGCAAUGGAUAUCUUGGCUUUCACAUCGAUGAAGAAUGUAGCAAAAUGUGAUGCCUGGUGUGAAUUGCAGAAUCCCGCGAGCCAUCGAGUCUUUGAAUGCUAGUUGUGCCCAAGGCCACCAGGCUAAGGGCAUGCCUGCCUGGGCAUCAUGC
rnacentral:rRNA from 1 species